rnacentral:rRNA from 1 species
AUUGAACGCUGGCGGCAGGCCUAACACAUGCAAGUCGAACGGUAACAGGAAGCAGCUUGCUGCUUCGCUGACGAGUGGCGGACGGGUGAGUAAUGUCUGGGAAGCUGCAUGAUGGAGGGGGAUAACUACUGGAAACGGUAGCUAAUACCGCAUAAUGUCGCAAGACGAAAGAGGGGGACCUUCGGGCCUCUUGCCAUCGGGUGUGCCCAGAUGGGAUUAGCUUGUUGGUGGGGUAACGGCUCACCAAGGCGACGAUCCCUAGCUGGUCUGAGAGGAUGACCAGCCACACUGGAACUGAGACACGGUCCAGACUCCUACGGGAGGCAGCAGUGGGGAAUAUUGGACAAUGGGCGCAAGCCUGAUGCAGCCAUGCCGCGUGUAUGAAGAAGGCCUUCGGGUUGUAAAGUACUUUCAUCGGGGAGGAAGGGAGUAAGGUUAAUACCUUUGCUCAUUGACGUUACCCGCAGAAGAAGCACCGGCUAACUCCGUG